UACGAAGGUCCCAAGCGUUGUUCGGAAUUACUGGGCGUAAAGCGUGUGUAGGCGGUUGGGUAAGUCAGAUGUGAAAUCCCGGGGCUCAACCCCGGAACUGCAUCCGAUACUGCCUGACUAGAGGACUGGAGGGGAGUCUGGAAUUCUCGGUGUAGCAGUGAAAUGCGUAGAUAUCGAGAGGAACACUAGUGGCGAAGGCGAGACUCUGGACAGAUCCUGACGCUGAGACACGAAGGCUAGGGUAGCGAACGGG
rnacentral:rRNA from 1 species